rnacentral:lncRNA from 1 species
CAAGCCCAUGUCUGUUGUCUCUGUGCCUCCAUCAACCUAACGGGAAGCACUUCCAUAUCUACUCGAAAUUGAACCUAAAAGGACUCCUGUAAGAGAUGAGAAGACAGAAAAAGUCUUAAACUUUAACGAAAUUUGUAAGGAGACGAAGAGAGAGAGAGGGAGAAUAAGAGGAGGGAGUGAGGAGAACCUGAACAGCUUAUGUGUCUAGAUCCGGUCAAGCGUAAACCCUAGAUUUUGG